rnacentral:rRNA from 1 species
UACGAGGGGGGCAAAUGUUGUUCGGAAUCACUGGGCGUAAAGGGCGCGUAGGCGGCGCGGGUAGUCAUCGGUGAAAGUUCAGGGCUCAACUCUGAAUCGGCCGGUGAUACUCCCGUGCUCGAGCACUGUAGAGGCAGGUGGAAUUCCGGGUGUAGCGGUGGAAUGCGUAGAGAUCCGGAAGAACACCGGUGGCGAAGGCGGCCUGCUGGGCAGUAGCUGACGCUGAUGCGCGACAGCGUGGGGAGCAAACAGG